AGUGCCCAAGCCAGGAAUCAUUUUUACACCUUGCAAGCAAGCAUCCCUCUUUUAAUACCAUCUUUGUUCAUAGCGACUCUGUUCUCCAAGUCAUAAUACCUAAUCUUACUGGGGAGGAGAGUGCACAAUAUACAAAGUAAUGGCUGGAAUGGUGUGCAGGAUCUUUGGGUGUAAAUCACUGCCACUCCAAGAAAUUCAACAGAGCACUGUUCAGUUACAGUCACUGCCUCAAGUUACUAGCAAUGAAGUCUCUGGUGCAGAAGAGUACCAAGAGAGACUUGCAAAAUGCAAGAUUGUCUUAUUUUGAAAAGAAACCUGUGCCAUGUCACUAUCAGUUCUUCCUAGCCAGCAAUCAGAAGUCAACAAAUCACAAAAUUUGAAUGCAAAAAUGGACUACUGAGAAAAUGAGAGGGCAGCCAGACCCCAUCUCCAACUGAUUCCUGAAUCUUUGAGAAGAUACCUCAGCAAGAAUGGCUGUACAUGGAAGUAGCUGUAGCAGCUACACCAUGUUGCUUUUCAUAAAGUGAGGAACUUUGUAAUAGGGACAGACUCUGAAGGUGAUACUGUUUUUCUUUCUACUUGUUUUAUUAUUGAGUCUUUGGAGAGCACAUGGGAAAGAAAUAUUUCUCCAUGACUUUCUGGUUCUUUAGCAGUGGAGAGCAGUGACUGAGCAGUAGGACAAUGGCUAAUGAGAAUGGAUGUUGUAGGUACCCAUGCCUCACGCCUUUACAUCUUUGAGGUCUGAAAACAUGCAAGGGAGUCAGACCUUGUUCUAAGGAGCUUUAUGCUAUUGUUCUGCUUGGAAAUACUUCGUGUACUGCUUUCCUGACAUUUAUUGCCUCCUGAAGGCAGUUGCAUUUAGCAUGCUUUUCUGUAAGCCUAUAUUCUUCUAGCCCCAGCCUUCAGACAGGAAAGCCUGGACUUAUCAAAGCGAUGUUCUCUGGGUGUGACCUGUACUAAAUCUGCAGCUGUCUGGAGAAGUUUUCCCUGAAGGGAAUGCUGAGGGUGUACUGUGAGAUAUCAGCUUCUCAGAUGUGUGGUUGGAGUCCAUACAUCAUCUCAUACAGGGGAGCGCACGUCUGUACCCCACUUCAAGUGGGAGGGCUGAAAGCAAGUUCACUGCAAGGGCUUGGCUUUGUUACACUGAUAAUGUAAUCAAUGAGUUCAUGAUUAAGAAAUCAUUCUAACAGAGACAAAGCAUCAGUGGUGCUGCGCACCAACCAUUACCAUUGGCAUCAAUGACACUUGCAGGUGCUGACUAUCACAGUUGUACAUGGGCGUCUCUGUUUGGCCCAGGCCUCACCUUCUGCCAGGAGGGGCUUAGUGCGUUUCCUGCUCUGGAGCAGUAUGACAUUCAUACCUGGCAGAUCCAGUUGCACUUAGACACAAGCUGUUCUUCUUGGCUGGAAUUUUUUAAUUAGUGAAAUAAAGUUAUCACACUGCUUUAAAUCCAGUUUAACAGCAGGAAGAAAGGUUUAGCGAAAGCAAACCUUUAAUAAAGCUUCAUUUAUUUUAACUACAAUUCUCACCAUCCCCUGAAAGUCAUGUAGGUAGGCCAGCUUCUUCACAUACCCUCAGUGAGUGCCUGCUACUCAUCUAGGGUUCCUGAGCAACUGCAUUUUUUCCCAAGUUUGGUUUUAGGCCUAAAAUGAGGUGCCAGCCUUGCCUCCUAAUAGCUAUUAAAUGUGUUUUGAAAAGCGGUUCCACUGUAGCUGCUUCUGCUCCUCUUGUUUACACUUUUCCAGGCUGAUAUGUUUUGGUGCAUUACCUAUGAGUUAUUCUAGAGCAGCUCCAAAGCUGUACCAGGGAGCAUUCCCAGGUGCUGGCACAAGCUACCAGAGGGACGUUUACAGCAUCCUUGACUGUGCAUUUAGGUGGUUCCACUGAUUACCAAAGCAGCACAUACACUUACAGUGAUGUGAGUACUCUGGGCACCGCAGAGGAGCUUCCCACUGAAUGCGGCACAGCUGCUGAGGAGAGCGUGGCAACAGCAAGACAUGGCAUUCACUGAAGAAAGCACUUGACAAGCCAUGUGAGAACCAGCGUGAGCAGCCAGCAGGCACAGCCCCAUCCUCUCGGAUUACUGCUCCCCAGGACAAGAACUGUGUCUUUAGUGCCUGCGUGCCUCUGCCAGGUAGAUGAUACGUACAUUAGACUGCAAGACUGUAAUGUGUAGAGAACUCAGCUCCUCUACCUGCUCUCUGGGACUGGUCUUUACAACUGUAAGACUUAGCAGCCCAAGACAGCUAAACAAGGUAUUGCUUUUUGCUUAUUCCAGCCACAUCCAAGCAUUUUUAUCUGUAACUAUCACAGCAAGGAAAAUAAGGAAUGCCACUCUCACAGUUAAUUUUUAUGGCUGAUUAAUUACCCCGAAGAGUAUUAAAUUGUGCUAAUGUAGUUUGCCUCUUCGAUGCUGUGUUUUGACUUCAAUGGAACUUAGUACGUGCUUAAAGUUAACUACAUGCCUAAGUGCUGUGGUGAAUCGGGGCCUAGGGCAUUAAUUAGAACUUGGCUCAGAUUUACUUUCAAGGCUUUUUUCUCCUUUUUUUUCUUUUUUUAACUCUUCAGAGCUCAGCAGUUUAAUUGGUAUGCAGAUGUUCCCCUUUAUUGCUGGUGGAAGCCUCUGUCACUGUUCUGAAGGUACUCAGACAUCAAGGCUGGUACAGUGGGCAGGAAGAAGCCCCCCUUGAAGGCUUUCAAGCUUUGUGGGAAAUAAUGAUGUAUGAGACAGGGAUUCCUUUGGAACCUGAAGGGAACAUGACAGAUAGAAUAAUAUGGGAGGAAAACAUUGUCUUCACAAUUGAGACUGAUGGUCUCAUCUUGUCUCCUUGUUAUUGUUACCAACCAAGACUGAGAUGAGCUUUCUUACGAAGAACUUCAUUUCAUGGCAGGUUCUAUAUGUUGGACGCACUGCACUCAGUGGUAGCUUUCCAUCCAAGGUACAGAUAUUGACAGGCUCUGAGGAACUCUUUGGGAUGGUGCUUUAGCUUAAAACCUAAAAUUCCUUCCAGCAUUCAGAUGCAUUUUGUCAGGAGUGACAGUUGCAAUUUGAUAAUCUCUUACCACUUUGCCUGUCUAUCUCAAAUAGCUAGCUGGAGGGGAGAAACCCAGAGUUGUUGGGCACAGGAGUGUCAGCUUUAUGAGUCAGCUUUUCUCACACUUUAUUAAUUUCACUUUCCAGUGGUUAGUGAAUGUUUGGAAGAGACAACUGAUUUGUACGGAUCUGUGUAGGAUGGAGCAAAGCUGGAACUAAGGGAGCGCAAGUUGACAGCAGUGCAAUAGCUCUAAUUGACAGAUACCAAAGGCACUAUUUAAAGCAAUUUUUAUUCUGCUGUUAAAGUUAAAAAUGGCCCCCAAUUUGUCCUCAGAUUCCAAUUUAAAAAGAAAUGUUUGCAUGUAUAUUAAUUUAAAAUGGAUUAGCUGGAAUAUUAAGUGCUCCUUUUAUGUACUUGCAUUUUCAAGUUAGAUGAUCCAAGAUGCUUCUGUGCAAGAUACAGGAAGAUGACUGUUCCUUAACUCCUCCAGAGUAAAAGCUGUCUUUCAGGGGAUACUUUGCACAUGUGAGAUUUGCGCUAGUGUGUUUUGGCACUCACAAUUUCAUCAGAAAUGCAUGUCAGUGAAUGGGAGGCAGAAGGAUUAAUAUACAUGCUUCAUGUUGUGAGUACAAAAAUGCAAGUAGAAAUUACACCCGUCAUUGGAAGGUCUUGGAAAAUAUGCCUUCCUGAAUGUGAGCAGGACAAAUUAGGAAAUAUCAGAUUUCUUUUACAACUGGCUGUUACUCUUUACAUUUCUGGAGAACUGGGAUCUUGCUGUUAAUCUUACAAAAAUAGAUGCUGUGGUGAAGCCUCAGGCAUGAAUAAAAUUGGAUGUUAAUCUUAAAGCAGAUUUUUUACAGCUAUGCACUCAGAGCCAGUGAAUCCAAAUGAUUUUGGAAACUCUGUGUUUGUUACUUAGAUCAAAGUGCUGUGGGGAAAGAGGUCAGUGGCCCAGGUACAUACUGUAACAUUAGAGGGUCUUUAAAGUUGAGCAGAUAAGGGCAGCAAAUAUUAAACAUCUCUCACUUCACACAAAUAAUAGGCAAAGCUGAAAAAAGCCUGCUGACAAGAGGAGUGGGUGUUGGUGGGUGACUUGCUGCAGUUUUAGAGCUGUUAAGUGUAGGUUUUUUAGCAUUUUCAUUAUUUAAAAGUAGAGUGGUAGUUUCUUCACUCCCUCUGAAAAGUUACUAAUUUACUCUGAAAUACAGGGUAACCCACAAUGAUUUAACAGAUUUGUAAUGUGCUUUAGAGUGAUUUCAAGUAACAGACGCCCUCCUUCUCGCCAAGUUUCCCACCGUCUCAGCUCUGCCUCCGCUCCUUUCUCUGUGUACAUCUGCACCAAAAUGCAAAGCAGGGGCUGCCCCACGUGUGACUUUCAUCUCUCUAUUCCAGUGUCAACAUGCUGGGCAGCGUUGACCACUCAUGCCAGUGCAGGUUGGCCUUAUUCCCAGUGUUCAGAAAGGGGCUGAGUCAAUAACGUUUGGAUGUUGGAAAUCCCACCACAGAGCAUGGCGUGGUUCGAAAGCACUUGCUGCUCUGCUAGUACCACUGCAAGCAGACACUCCUGGUAUGCAGACCUUUUGCCAAGUACAUGGGAAGUACCAGUGGAGCAUGGCAUUGGACCACGAUUAGGGUCCCCAGGAUGCUCCUGGAAUCCAGGCAGUAUCAUCAUCUGCAGACCUCUCUGUCUGAUUCAGCGAAAGCAGCUGAGCUGUGUUCCCAAAUGGCUGUCCAACAAGACAGGCUUCAUGUGGAGAUGAGGCACUCAAAACGUUUUUCCUGGCUGUCAAGCUGAAUGGGUCUCAGCCAGCUCAUGCUCAGACCAGUUCAUGCCUACCUAUUGCUUGUGUUCAGUAGCCAUGCCUGUGGAACGAUGUUUAAGCUAAAAGCUCCUUAGCAUGAUAAUAUUUGAAUAUGAUGGAACCUUGCUGAAGAGAAGUUGGCCUUGUAUUUACUGUGAGCAGUCUCUGGUGGUUUGUGGUAGGGAGUUGGGACCUGGGGCUGAAGCCACAACCUCCAGGACCAAACCGCAGAAUUUACACACUCCUGCCAAGGCCUGCCAAUUUGUGUUCCUAGCUAAAGGUCUGUAUCACCGCUGUUUUGUAUGCUAUUGUCUUUGCUGUUCGAGGGAGGAAUCUAUUUUAUUCAGUAUAGCAAUACUGUCUAGCUUAGUUUAAUGUUAUUAGCUGCUGAUAAUGCGUUACUAUUCAGUGCAUCCAUGAGCUUGUUUAGUGUCAAUAACCGAGGGCAGAAAUACUUGAAUGGGAGCCUAGAUGGAGAUGCUUUCUCUUCCUCUUUUCCUCAUGAGAACCCACCUGCAGUACCACAUCCAGCUCUCAGACCCCCAUCACAAGAAACACAAGGGCCUGUUAGGGUGGAUCCAGAGGAGGGCCACAAAAAUGAUCAGAGGGCUCGAAAGCCUCUCCUAUGAAAAAAGCCUGAGAGGGCUGGGUUGUUCAGCCUGGAGAAGAGAAGGCUCCAGGGAAACCUUACUGCAGCUUUUCUUAAAGGAGGCUUAUAAGAAAGAUAGACUUUCUACAAGGGCAGGCAGUGAUAGGAUGAAAGAUAAAGAUUUUAAACUAAAAGCAGGUAUAUUUAGAUUAGAUAUAAAGAAGAAAUUCUCUACUGUAUUGGUGGUCUCUUCCAACCCAAACCAUUCUAUGAUUCUAUGCUGAGGUUCUGGAGUACUCCAACGUUUCUUUUGCCUUUCUUCAUUUCCCUGAUCUAGAAGGCCAGGAGAACGCUUAUCCACUCAUAACAAAUUCAAGGUGCGUGAGACUGAAAGGUCACCGUAACUUUCUAUUACUCUCCUGGUGUGACUGGUUUAAAUCACAUCUUCUAGCAAACUUUAAGGAAAUAAGGUUUUGUUACAAGGUGAGAUGGUAAGUUAGUGCCACUGACAUCUGUUGGGUAGAAUAUUUUAUUGUGAAACCAUUCUUGUUCUGGAGGCUCGGUCAACUGCUCUUGACCUGGGAGCCUACAGUGUAGAAAAGUGUGGUCAUGAGGCUGAACAGAUCUCAGUCUCAGGGAUUCAUACAUGCAACUCUCCUUGAUUUGAACUGGAGAAAGGCCAGUUUGUUCACUUUCACAUUCUGUAACUGAGAAAGAUGAAUUCUCUUCUAGAGAAGCAAUAAUUCCUUCCAUUCUUCACAAAUAGAUGAUGACUAAAGAAGGCCUGGGCUGAGUAUAGAUAUUCUUACAUUUACUCGAAAUGAAUGUAGCUCAUAACUCUUAUUUUAGCACCAAUCUGGAACACUACUGUGAACAGAUUUACAAAGUCUGUGUGUUUCUUACCUUGGCAUUCUGGUAUUUAUACUCAUUCUUGCACUGAUACUUGGGAGUUUAAUGAAGCCAAUGCCUGAAAGGUGAGUAGGUGAAAGGUUGAUAGUUUCGUUUACAAACCUGUUCCUUCUAUGUACUCCAUAAUUUUCUUUCAGUUCUGAAGUAUGAUUUUCUUCUUCUGAUACUAAGGAGUGAGGCACUGGUGGGUUUUUUUGUUUGUUUUGUUUUUGUUUUUUUUCUUCUAGCAUGUGUGUCAUCAACAGUUAUUAACUUUGUUUUAGUUGCAAGGUCCUUUGUUGCUGGAUUGAAAAAACCUACUAACUUCAACCAUGUGUUUUUAGACUAGACACUUAACAAAAACCUUUACUGCAUUUAUAAAAUGAGCAGAUUUAAUCUGAAAGUCAUUGAGAGAAACCAAUAAAGAAUUUCGUUCAUGUGA